UAUACAAUGUAUUCAUGAUAUAUUACCAGGUAUUUGUAUAGCAAGAAUAAAUGUAUGAUCGAUGAUGGGAGAGAAAUUAUCAUAUCCUUUUUUUUCCUGACUUUUUAAUACUACCGGUUGUAAAAACAUUUGAAGGGUUUGAAAAGGAAUAAAAAGUUUUUAAAACCGUGUAAGCAAUUUUUUUUUACCAGAAAAAAUAUGUUUCUUAAUCAAGCUUUAGGCAUAAAUGUCCCCUAGUUUAUUAUUGAAGCUUUAUGUAUAAAUGUCCAAUCGUUUAUUAUUGAAGCUUUAGGUAUAAAUGUCCAAUCGUUUAUUAUUGAAGCUUCAACUAGGUGAAGCACCAACAUAGGGUAGCUUGUACCAUCCUGUGUCGCUAGAAUGAGUCGACUAAAGGUAACAAGUACUUCCAUAGACUCCGAUAUAGAUAGGUGAGGCACCAAUGAUAGGGUAGCUUGCACCAUCCUGUGUCGCUAGAAUGGCUAAAGGUAACAAGUACUUACAUAGACUCCGAUAUAGAUAGGUGAGGCACCAAUGAUAGGGUAGCUUGUACCAUCCUGUGUCGCUAGAAUGGCUAAAGGUAACAUGUACUUACAUAGACUCCGAUAUAGAUAGGUGAGGCACCAAUGAUAGGGUAGCUUGUACCAUCCUGUGUCGCUAGAAUGGCUAAAGGUAACAUGUACUUACAUAGACUCCGAUAUAAAUAGGUGAAGCACCAAUGAUAGGGUAGCUUGCACCAUCCUGUGUCGCUAGAAUGGCUAAAGGUAACAAGUACUUACAUAGACUCCGAUAUAGAUAGGUGAGGCACCAAUGAUAGGGUAGCUUGUACCAUCCUGUGUCGCUAGAAUGGCUAAAGGUAACAUGUACUUACAUAGACUCCGAUAUAGAUAGGUGAGGCACCAAUGAUAGGGUAGCUUGUACCAUCCUGUGUCGCUAGAAUGGCUAAAGGUAACAUGUACUUACAUAGACUCCGAUAUAGAUAGGUGAGGCACCAAUGAUAGGGUAGCUUGUACCAUCCUGUGUCGCUAGAAUGGCUAAAGGUAACAUGUACUUACAUAGACUCCGAUAUAGAUAGGUGAGGCACCAAUGAUAGGGUAGCUUGUACCAUCCUGUGUCGCUAGAAUGGCUAAAGGUAACAAGUACUUACAUAGACUCCGAUAUAGAUAGGUGAAGCACCAAUGAUAGGGUAGCUUGCACCAUCCUGUGUCGCUAGAAUGGCUAAAGGUAACAAGUACUUACAUAGACUCCGAUAUAGAUAGGUGAGGCACCAAUGAUAGGGUAGCUUGUACCAUCCUGUGUCGCUAGAAUGGCUAAAGGUAACAAGUACUUACAUAGACUCCGAUAUAGAUAGGUGAAGCACCAAU